CAGCCAGUGGCUCUGUGUGGUUGUUUUGUUCUUCUCCCCAUCUGUUCCAUGCCAGAGGAAAAGAGCUGGAUCUUCGAAAUUUCCAGUCGCCCAGGUGUGAAAUCUUUAAGAUGGCAUAGUCCUUCGAUAGUGACUCGGCCUGACUGCCAACCUGGACUCAUGUGUUACAGAUUCUACAAUUCCAGGAUCAGCCAGCAGGGGUCAGCAAGGCCCUUUUACUACACUGAGCAUAGAGCAAGCCUACUUUUUUCCAUUG